AGAGUUUGAUCAUGGCUCAGGACGAACGCUGGCGGCGUGCCUAAUACAUGCAAGUCGAGCGAGCUUGCCUAGAUGAUUUUAGUGCUUGCACUAAAUGAAACUAGAUACAAGCGAGCGGCGGACGGGUGAGUAACACGUGGGUAACCUACCCAAGAGACUGGGAUAACACCUGGAAACAGAUGCUAAUACCGGAUAACAACACUAGACGCAUGUCUAGAGUUUGAAAGAUGGUUCUGCUAUCACUCUUGGAUGGACCUGCGGUGCAUUAGCUAGUUGGUAAGGUAACGGCUUACCAAGGCAAUGAUGCAUAGCCGAGUUGAGAGACUGAUCGGCCACAUUGGGACUGAGACACGGCCCAAACUCCUACGGGAGGCAGCAGUAGGGAAUCUUCCACAAUGGACGAAAGUCUGAUGGAGCAACGCCGCGUGAGUGAAGAAGGGUUUCGGCUCGUAAAGCUCUGUUGGCAGUGAAGAAAGAUAGAGGUAGUAACUGGCCUUUAUUUGACGGUAAUUACUUAGAAAGUCACGGCUAACUACGUGCCAGCAGCCGCGGUAAUACGUAGGUGGCAAGCGUUGUCCGGAUUUAUUGGGCGUAAAGCGAGUGCAGGCGGUUCAAUAAGUCUGAUGUGAAAGCCUUCGGCUCAACCGGAGAAUUGCAUCAGAAACUGUUGAACUUGAGUGCAGAAGAGGAGAGUGGAACUCCAUGUGUAGCGGUGGAAUGCGUAGAUAUAUGGAAGAACACCAGUGGCGAAGGCGGCUCUCUGGUCUGCAACUGACGCUGAGGCUCGAAAGCAUGGGUAGCGAACAGGAUUAGAUACCCUGGUAGUCCAUGCCGUAAACGAUGAGUGCUAAGUGUUGGGAGGUUUCCGCCUCUCAGUGCUGCAGCU
rnacentral:rRNA from 1 species